GAACGAUGAGUGUGCAUCUUUGACAUGGCCAUUCUUCUUGCAGAGCAAAGGGUGAGAAGUAGGCGGAACUAAGGCAGUGGCUCCCAGAAUGCCUGCUUGGAAACAGAGUAUGUCAUUUCCACUCACAUUUCAGUGACCAGAGCAAGCUGGUCAGGAGAAAGGAUAGGAGACAAGGGGCGAUGGAAAGCAACACAUUGCGGAGGCUCAAUUGUAUUUCUGGUUGUGGCUUUGCAGAGAGCCUUGAAGCCAUAUGAGUGGGUCUCCAGAUGCAUGGUGCCUAAAAAACAAGAGAAGCAUUGUGUGUUUUUCCAAUUGCAGCUGCCACAUAUCACCACAUGGACACUGUGCACCUCGAGGAUGGGAAGCAAAAGAGAUAACCCUGAAAUCAACAAGAUGCAGAUAUUAAUCAUCCCUCUUUGAAGGGAGUCUCCCUACUUCCCAUCUAUUCCUCAUUAAGAGGAAAUGACUCAGCGUUCCUCACAGUGCUUCUCCGUUUCUCCACUAAAGUUUCUACAAAGAUGAAGUCAAAUUUCCCUAUAUCCAAAAUAAUAACAACAAAGCACAAAAAAUAGAAGAACAUCCAAAACCGAGGCUUGGGUUAGUCCAGUGGACAUACAAGAAGGCUUACCAGUAACUACCAGGCUACACAAGAUGACUGAGACAUACAGUUAGGGGCAACCCACACACACCCAUAGCAGGUGUCCUCAAACCCUGGUCAUGGACCAGUACUGGUUCAUGGCCUGUUAGGAACCCCGGCACAUAGCCAGUAAGCAGUGAAGCUUCAUCUGUAUUUACAGCUGCUCCCUAUCACUUACAUUACCACCUGAGCGCCAUCUCCUGUCAGAUCAGUAGCAGCAUUAGAUUCUCAUAGGAACUCCCAUUGUGAAAUGCACAUGUGAGGAAACUAGGUUGUGUGCUCCUUAUGAGAAUCUAAUGCCUGAUGAUCUGUCAUUGUCUCUCAUCACCCCCAGAUGGGACUGUCUAGUUGCAGGAAAACAAGCUCAGAGCUCUCACUGAUUCGACAUUUUCAUGAGUUGUAUAAUUAUUUCAUUAUAUAUUACAAUGUAAUAAUGAUAGAAAUAAAGUGCACGAUAAAUGUCAUGCACUUGAAUCAUUCUGAAACCACCCUCCCCCAUGGCCCCAGUCUGUGGAAAAAUUGUCUUUCAUGAAACCGGGCCCUUAUUGGGCACUGCUGCCCUAUAAGACCAUGGGUUCCAUGACAGUAGAUGUAUGUGUGAGUGCUGGAAUGGAUGGACCACCUCCCACAAACAUACAGCACUCACUAUGUGUUCUUUAAUUUAACAUAUGCUAAUUGGCCACAUAUUAGUUUCUUGCAGCUCCUCUUACAAAUGACCACAGACUUAGUUGCUAAAAGCAACACAAAUGUAUUAACUUACAUUUUGAACACUAUAUUACAUACUUGAAGUUUGCUAAGGGAAUAGAUGUUCUCACCACACACACACACACACACACACACACACACACAAACACACAUACACACACACUUCUGAAGACCAGAAGUCAAAGUGGAUUUCACUGGACUGAAUCAAGAAUGGAGAUUAUGGAGGGGAGGGGGACAUAGGGAGAUGCUGGCCAAAGGAUCCUAAGUUUCAGUUCUGCACGAUGAAUAAAUUCUGGAGAUCUGUGUACUGCAUGGUGACUCUGGUUAAUAACACUGUUGAUGGCUGCUGCGAGACCUCUGUUCUUCUCUUCUUAGUUUAAAAGAAUUUAAACAAGAGACACACAGCAAAGGAGAUACAGCAUAGAGUAAUUUAUUGCAAAGGAAAAAGAAUAUUUUGAAAGUUAAGUGCAGAGUAGACAGUACAUCCCGAGAAAGAGAGGAUUCAUGGUGGGCUGCUCUUAAGGGUGAGACAGUAUUGAUUAUUGCUGGAGAAACUCCCUUUAUGGGAGUCUUACAUGAUGAUUCAUAAGGAGAUGGGAAGAGGUGUUGUCAGUAAGCAUAUUCUGGGUGGUCCUCUGGGUGCACAUGCCCAGUAGCUGCACAUGCUUGUUCAU
rnacentral:lncRNA from 1 species